UUGACAUUACAGGCUGUCGACCUUUCUAACGACAACUUCAAUUUAUUUUGAAACAUUAGAAUCUCAACUUAUAACACAUUUUCCAUUGAAUCCCAGUUUCAAUAUAGCUUGAUACUCAAAGCAUAAUAUAACUUGAACAGUAUGAACCUAGUUUACAUUGUAAACAGUAGGUACAAUGAACUCCUUCAGUUUUCAGAUAAAAAAAUGGGAAAUUACUGUAAAUUAUGAAUUAAAAGUGUCUUUUACUGUGCCAUAUGUAAUUUAGGAAUUAAAUAUAGACUGAUUAAAGCUUUAUAAACUUAGUAUUCCUUAAAUAUCUGAGUGGGCGUUUGGUUUUGUAAUAUCGUAAAUUAACUCGUUUAUUUUAAACAAGAUAUAAUUAGUUGUGAUUAACUUACUUUAUAAGUGAUUUAGUGUUCGUUACACGUUGUUAGUUAAUGUUGUUUAAUAGAAUUUUAAGGUGGAAACACUAAUGUUAGGCAUGCAUAUGCAGAGGAGAAGCAUGGAGGGCAGCAGUGAGGCUAGUUACUGUGAAAGGGACACCUUGGACGAAUGGGGUAGCCGCUCCUCCCUCAGCCAAGUGGAAGAAGUAAGUAUAUCAGUAGCAGAGUUGCCAGAAUUUUUUAAUUUUUCAGCCUAUUAUGUAAAUAAUAAGGUUAUAAUUCCUGUGACACGCGUAACUGUCAUGCAAUGUCAUGUGAAUGUCAUGUUACCCGGCUACCAUGUCAAGCAUUCAGUUGCUAAA